UGGUGUGUGACUCAGGUGGCUAAUGGAACCGUUUAAUAAACGGGAGGUCGCGGGUUCAAAUCUCCGUCACUGUUU